GCUGGGGUAGCUCAGUGGUAGAGCAGUUUCCUGGCCUGAAUGAGACCCUGGGUUCCAUCCCCAGCUCUGCA
rnacentral:tRNA from 1 species